UACGUAGGGUGCGAGCGUUGUCCGGAAUUAUUGGGCGUAAAGGGCUCGUAGGCGGUUUGUCGCGUCGGGAGUGAAAACACACAGCUUAACUGUGUGCUUGCUUCCGAUACGGGCAGACUGGAGGUAUGCAGGGGAGAACGGAAUUCCUGGUGUAGCGGUGAAAUGCGCAGAUACCAGGAGGAACACCGAUGGCGAAGGCAGUCCCCUGGGCCUGUACUGACGCUGAGACGCGAAAGCGUGGGGAGCAAACAGG
rnacentral:rRNA from 1 species